rnacentral:rRNA from 1 species
UACGGGAGGCAGCAGUGGGGAAUAUUGCACAAUGGGCGAAAGCCUGAUGCAGCCAUGCCGCGUGUGUGAAGAAGGCUUUAGGGUUGUAAAGCACUUUCAGCGAGGAGGAAAGGGUGUUGAUUAAUACUCAGCAUCUGUGACGUUACUCGCAGAAGAAGCACCGGCUAACUCCGUGCCAGCAGCCGCGGUAAUACGGAGGGUGCAAGCGUUAAUCGGAAUUACUGGGCGUAAAGCGUGCGNAGGCGGCUAGUUAAGUUGGAUGUGAAAGCCCCGGGCUCAACCUGGGAACUGCAUCCAAAACUGGGUAGCUAGAGUGNGGAAGAGGAGUGUGGAAUUUCCUGUGUAGCGGUGAAAUGCGUAGAUAUAGGAAGGAACACCAGUGGCGAAGGCGGCA